rnacentral:rRNA from 1 species
UGGACGAAAGUCUGACCGAGCAACGCCGCGUGAGUGAAGAAGGUUUUCGGAUCGUAAAACUCUGUUGUUAGAGAAGAAUGUUGAUUAGAGUGGAAAAUUAAUCAAGUGACGGUAUCUAACCAGAAAGGGACGGCUAACUACGUGCCAGCAGCCGCGGUAAUACGUAGGUCCCGAGCGUUGUCCGGAUUUAUUGGGCGUAAAGCGAGCGCAGGUGGUUUAAUAAGUCUGAUGUAAAAGGCAGUGGCUCAACCAUUGUGUGCAUUGGAAACUGUUAGACUUGAGUGCAGUAGAGGAGAGUGGAAUUCCAUGUGUAGCGGUGAAAUGCGUAGAUAUAUGGAGGAACACCGGCGGCGAAAGCGGCUCUCUGGACUGUCACUGACACUGAGGCUCGAAAGCGUGGGUAGCAAACAGGAUUAGAUACCCUGGUAGUCCACGCCGUAAACGAUGAGUGCUAGUUGUUUGGGGCUAUCCAGCCCUAAGUGACGCAGCAAACGCAUUAAGCACUCCGCCUGGGGAGUACGACCGCAAGGUUGAAACUCAAAGGAAUUGACGGGGGCCCGCACAAGCGGUGGAGCAUGUGGUUUAAUUCGAAGCAACGCGAAGAACCUUACCAGGUCUUGACAUACUCGUGCUAUUCCUAGAGAUAGGAAGUUCCUUCGGGACACGGGAUACAGGUGGUGCAUGGUUGUCGUCAGCUCGUGUCGUGAGAUGUUGGGUUAAGUCCCGCAACGAGCGCAACCCUUAUUGUUAGUUGCCAUCAUUAAGUUGGGCACUCUAGCGAGACUGCCGGUAAUAAACCGGAGGAAGGUGGGGAUGACGUCAAAUCAUCAUGCCCCUUAUGACCUGGGCUACACACGUGCUACAAUGGUUGGUACAACGAGUCGCAAGACAGUGAUGUCAAGCUAAUCUCUUAAAGCCAAUCUCAGUUCGGAUUGUAGGCUGCAACUCCGCCUACAUGAAGUCCGGAAUCGCUAGUAAUCGCGGGAUCCAGCACGG